AUGAUCUGGCACUGGGACCUUAACUUCUGGAGUGAACGACUGCGGGAAUCAAAAUACAAUAUUGAUGAGAUAUCCUGGCUCUCUGGAAUAUGCCCUGUUCAGCUGAAAGGAUGUAUUGCAAUUAUGCAGAGAGAUCGAAUUGUUCGGACUCCAGUGCCACUUUCAGUUUUCUAA
rnacentral:rRNA from 1 species